UCUAGUUCAUCCAUGUUGUCAUUUACUAACAUAAACCCAUUAAAAAUAUAAAAUACAUAGAUUUAUAUUAUAUAUAAAUCUGUAUGUGUCUGAGUAAAUACCUGUGUGAAAGGGAUAUUUUUGCUGUAUUUGAGUUCUCCAGAGACCAUAGGCAUCAGAGGAGACUUUGUAGAGAUGAGGAAGGGUUAGAACCCACGUAGAAAAACUUUGAGCUGUUUUCAUCUGAAAAAUCAGUUUGGGGAAGAAAGACAACAAAAGAAACCCACCAAACGAUCCACCAAAAACCAGCACUGGCAUCCGGUCUGGUGUGGCUCUGGAGCUGUACUGGGGUAAUUCCUAACAUUGCUUGCGUGUAGUAUUUCAACUUCUGGUUUCUACAGAUAGACCCUCAGCAGAGAACUGUAGGAAUUACGUGAAGAUUGAGAACUCAAUGAGGAAAACCUUUUUUUUUUUUUUUUAAAAAAAAAAUCUAUUAAAAAAAUCUGUAAGAAAUGUAUAGAAGCUAAUUGCAUGGACAUGGAAUCAUAUUCAAUCAAGUAAACAUCUGUUUAGAGCUGAAAAGGAAAGCGCUAAACCUCUUAAUAUUAAGAAACUGCUGGUUUUGUGUAAUUUCUUCAACUAAGUUCAAGGUGUGCGUAAGUACUGGGAGUACUGUAACCUUUGUCACUAUUGUUGGCUUUUUCUUAAGGGAGAAAAAGCUGACGACCUGACAUCAUAAAAGAUGUUAUUUCUUAAAAACAUUGCAUAUCAGCUCAUGUACUCUGCCUAGUUGUUCAGAGCGUAAGAUUUCCCAAAGGCUGAAUAAAGUCCCGUCUUUCUGGCAGAAAUUUGUUAGUGCCAGUAAAGUCUGUUAAUCUGAUUUAAAACGUGUUUUAAUUAGGCCAUAAAAGGUUUGCUAUCAACAGUACUUGGCGUACAAAGUUGACAAGAAACAAAGCAUGCUGAUAAACUGUUUACAUUGAAAGAAUAUUUAAGUGAUCUUAAAAUGAAAAUAACAUUGUUUAACAAGUACCCAUUUAUUUAAUUUCACAAAACGGAUGCAUCUAUUAAUGAAUUUAUUCUUACAAGGCAGUAUUUUUCUAUAAUCAACCAAUUGUUGAGUUUUAUACCCCUAGUAUUUUCCUGCUGUUCUGUAAGCUUGAAGAAGUACUGUCUGUAUUUCUCAAACGUAUCGUUCUGUGACAGCUUUAUACAACUUUGGAAUUCUGUCCUGCUGAAUUUGGAGAAGCCGUAGUUUUUUACCACUCCUAAACGGGGAGUAGGAAAGCUCCUUCAGUGAGCGGUACCCACGUGGAUCUCAAGUAGGUCCUAAGUCCUUGUAUGAUAAUCUAGACAGCUCUGUGGCCUGCAAACGUGUGUAGUAGGCUGUUCAAGAAACUGAGCACAAAACAUUUCUGGAAUGAGGCCAAAUGCUUUAAAAGCAAUUCUGAAAUUCAGCAAGUCAAGAUUCCUGCCAUCCCAGUUGCCUGCAAGUUUAGCUUUUAAUGAUGGCUUGCAUGACACUUAACUUUUUAAAAUCAAUACUUUGAUUUAUUGUUCUGCUGCCUCUCUCUUUCCUGAGAUUUGAUAAUGAUUCCUGAUGUGGCUAUUGUAAUGUUCAAUGACUUCUUCCUUUCUGUCCCCUCAGUUCCCUGCUCCUCUCCCACUCCCUGAAACCAAAGUAGAUCAAGUUUUGGGAAACAUUUUGUGUCACUGGCUUGAAAUGGAAGCAGCUAGAUUUACAUUCCUGGUGUUGAUACUUCAAUAUCUAUGUCAUGUUGGUGCUGACUUCCAGGAGCAAGGUGCUUUACUGAAACUUGUUGUUCUUGUAAUGUUUAUUUUGAAUAACAGUUCAACCAGAUGCUGGUACAUAAAUCCUGCAGUGGGUUUUCAGCCUGCACGUUUCUAGAGGUAUGACUAAACCAGUGAAUGGCGGCAGGGCAACAGACGCUUCUCAACCUAGAAAGUUUUGGUUUUGUAGCUGCAGAUACUCCGUAUGGCCAGCAGCACUUUAAAUCUAAAUAAUUGCAUGAUUGCAUGAUGCUGUAAGACUUCAGUUUGAGAAAUAAUUAAUCUAGCUUCAGGAAUUAUGAAUCAGAUGCAGCAGUUUGCUUUCUGUUUCCAUGUUCUUUCACUUGGAUCCUCUAGUAGUUGGAGCUGCUUUUUUACAGGAAGGAAAAUAAAGUGUUGCUGCUUGUACUCUGUACCAUUUACAAAUGCACAGACUCAAUGUUUUGCUUAUUUUGCAGAUGGUCUUCCACAGAAUUUACUCACUGUUAUUUAGAGUUUUCUUUACUGGCUAUGGAGCAGAACCACAAUGCAGAAAAAUGGGGAUCAGUCUUCACUGUCUCUUGAUCUACUUAGUGGCAGUGAAACCUGCUGUGUAGAGAAUGUAGAAAAAAGCGCUAAAGGGAGCUUUGCUCCCAGCAUCUCUAUCGACUGUCAGGUCACUAUGGAAAGACAGACACUGCAUUGAUCCCUUUCUUCCCACAAAGGAGAUGAAAACACGUAUUGUAAGAUUCCUUAAUGUCUUCUGUAUGCUCAGAAGCAGAGAUACCAGGGCCUUCCUGACCUCAUCUGUAUCUGAAGAUCAUCUACAUAUGCUGUUCUUGUCAUCCCAGCCUGAAUUUUUCCCUGCUUCAACUAGACGGAUCCCAUCACAGCCUGCACUUGAGGUAAAUCAGCAAACCACAGUACAGUGACUGAGAGAAGAGCUGUUGUCUGUUCAAUUCCUUAAGCUGGCCGAACACCCAGUCUCUGUAGCAGGAAUCACUUCUGAAAAGGCAAAAAAAAAAAAAAAAGAUAAUCCUCUCCCAGAAUUCCCGUAAGAGGAAUUCAGGUACUUUUGGAUGACCUGUUUCAGGUCUUUCUGCUUGUCUAAAUCUUAAAAGAACAAAGGAGUGUUUAGCUGUUUCAGUCUGAAAUACUUGUCAGCAUAUAUAAAUUAGGCUAGUAUUUUUCAUAGCUAGAACACAAACGUGACCAUUUUUCUUAUUCUUUAGUGUUCAAAACAAGUCUACAAGGGAAGAAAAAUGUAUGAAAGAAUAAAAAGUAGAAAUAAAGGGUUCUCCCCCUUUAUAAAAAAGGAGAAAUACUGUGACCUUGAUGUAAAGAAAUGAACUUAAAAACAAGUUAUUCCUAACAGCGUGUUUCAGAAUGAUCUCACAAACUGUUUUGCUGCUUAUCUACUUUCAUGAGGAAAACACCAGUGCACCAAGUUCUCAUGGAUGCUUUUUUUCCUCAGGUUUUGUGUUGGAUCUUUGUCUCCUCUACAGAACUGCUACAUGAAUAGAAUAUGACCAAGUAAUCUUCUUCUCCACACCCCCUGAAGCCUGAAUAGUCUUUCUGCCUCCCUACCCUGGAAGUAUGGAGUCCCUGCCUCAGCCUACGGCUUCAUUCUUUUUCCAGCUGCCCACAAAAGUAAAGAACCAGUGUGAAAGUUUGAAGAAAGAAUCCGCUCAGAGGACUGAGUCUCAAGCAAAAGCUCCAGGUUGCAGACUCAGAAAGAAACUUCCUUUGGGGAAGGAUCUGCUUCCAGGAUUUGCUCGUCUCUUUUUCCUUGGGCAAACAGAGUUCUUGAAGCAAACAACAGGGUUGCAGGACACCUUCUAACCUUUAUACUGCGUCACAAGCCUUCAGCAGAAGAUCUUGAGAACCAUUUAUGUUGCUGGAAGAUGACUGGGUUUGGAUCUUGGCCUUCCUUAAGCAGGAUCUCCUGGCAAAAAUGGGAUUGGGAAAGACAUGACUCCUUUUUCCAUCACACAGAGCCACCCUAGAUACGGAAGUGUAGGCAGAGAAUUGCUUCUAACACGGGAUUCUUUAGGAAACUUGUUUGGUCUCCCAUGGUCCUGUUGUUACAAUGUCAUAAAGCUGUUUUUUAUAAAACCUAAACCUGGCAUCUUGCUAUCUGAAGAUGGAAUCAAUAAAUCCAAGUUUAAGAGUUUACAGGUCCAGUAAUGUAAUCAGAUCUUGCUGACCCCUGCGUAGGAGAUGCCACGUGAAUCUGUGAAACAGGGUUCUGCUGUGGUUCGGACUGAGAUAUUUGUAAAGCCUUUUUGACUUACAGCCUAUUUAAAUGAUGAUAAAGCAUAUAAUGAAGAUUCUUAUGGAAAUGACGUUUAAUUAGGCUUUCCACCUCUUCAAUUUUAUUUAAAAAAAAAGCCAGAAAUGUUAACAGUUUUAUGAAAAGUACUGCAUCUUUUGAGGUUUCCUGUGGUUUUCUGUAGGUAAAAGGUAUAUUGGAAGUGCUGAGAGCUGUGGAAGUAGAAAAACAUAUUUUUUUCUUUAAAAAAUUAUUGAAGGUUGAAAAGUUAUUUGUUAGAAAGCAGAAAGCUCUAAUUGUCUUCCCCUAAGGGGAUUCUGCAGGCGAACGUAAAUUAAAUGUCUUGCAAGAUCUCAAAUAAAAACCUUAUGUUUGGCAGGAGUGACAAACACACGCAUGCCCAUGUAUUUUUGUUCUUUUCACUAUAGGAAAUGACUUUUGAACAAUAAGACUGACUUUUAAAGCUCAGAUUAGGAGAGGGGGAAGCUUUGUUCAGAAGCUGAGUGUGAGAAGGGGUGGCAGGAGGGUGAACCAGACCCUCUGGCAGUAGGUAAAGAGCACUUUCAUUUUCCUGUUUUCUGCUUCUGGCACUCGGAGGAAAGUAGACAGUGGUGCUUGAAUCCAGUAAAUUUCUGAGAUCAGUCACCAUGAAAACGUUGUUUUUAACUAACGCCUAGAACUUUCAUUAAAUUCACCAGCAUAUUUAAAUUGUUGAACUGUCUUAACGUAGCCCUGAGGCUACUGCUUCAUGGCAGUUGUGACUUCUUAUUAUGCUGGAAUGCAUUGCAGUCUUGGUACAUUCUAAAAAUAAUUGUUCAGAUGGUGCUGUUUAAGUGCAUACUUAUGUAGUGAGCCAUUUUCAUUGGACUUCUUGAAAUUUGGCUCUGCUGCAUGGCUUUACGACUUUUUUGCCAUGAAUAUCAGACUACUUUGUCUUGCUUCUUCUGUGGUUAUCAAGUAAAAUGCUAAAUUUAUAACCUGGUAUUUUUAGAAAACUGAUGCAUGUGUUAAACUAUGCAACCACAGUAACGCUUGUGCACUUUAAAAAAAUCACUUUACUGUGUCAAAUUCUAGGGUUUUCAUUAAAUAAAGC